GGCAGCAGGCCUUUUCCCACGUGUCAUCCCAUUUUCUGUUUUCCUCUUCUGUUUUGGUAAUUAGACAUUAGAGGAAUAUUGAGGUGAUCAAAGCCGUUAGCUUGUUUGGGUUUUGCCAGCCAGCAUUUUUAAAAAAUGCAUUGUAUUUUCAGAGUUCCUGUCAUGGCACAGCGGAAACGAAUCUGACUAGGAACCAUGAGGUUGGGGGUUCGAUCCCUGGUCUCGAUCAGUGGGUUAAGGAUCCAGUGUUAAGGAUAAGGAUCAGGGCAUUGCUGUGGCUGUGGUGUAGGCUGGCAGCUGUAGCUUCAAUUUGACCCCUAGCCUGGGAACCUCCAUAUGCUGCGGGUGCGGCCCUACAAGAGCAAAAAAAAGAAAAAAAAUGCAUUGUAAUUUUUAUUUUAGUGUGCAAUACUUCUUCAUAAUCAAAGUAUGUAAUGUGCACAUGAAAAGAAAGAAGGUAGAAAGAAUAAUGAAACUAACACCCAGUUUAAGAAGUAGAGUGUUGGCAUUCCCAUUGUAUUAUAGUGGAAAUGAAUCCUCCUAGUAUCCAUGAAGAUGUGGGUUCCAUCCCUGGCCUCACUCAGUGGGUUAAGUAUCCAGCUGUGAGCUGUGGUGUAGGUUGCAGACGUGGCUCGGAUCCUGCAUUACCGUGCCUGUGGCAUAGGCCAGCAGCUGUAGCUCCCAUUCAACUCCUAGCCUGGGAAUCUCCAUAUGCCUCGGGUGUGGCCCUAAAAAGCAAAAAAAAAGUAAAAUAAAACAAAAUAAAAGUAUAGCUAAGGGAGUUCCUGCUGUGGCACAUCAUGUUAAGGAUCUGGCAUUGUCUCUGUGGUGGUACAGGUUUGAUCCCCAGCCCUAGCACAAUAGGUAAAGGAUUCUGCGUUGCCACAGCUGUGGCUCAGAUUUGAUUGCUGGCCCAGAAGCUUCCAUAUGCUGGGGUUUGGCCAAAAAAUAUAUGUAUAUAGCUAAGAACAUAAGCAUGAUCUGUGUGAGAGGAUUCAGUAUCAUGCACCCUGUUUCCUUCAUGCACUAGUGUCCCUAGAGAUUGUGGGACAGGCACUCCUGGAAAUACCUGGCAGAGUGGUGUAGAGCUGGGGGGUUAUUUGAGACCCUGUUCCUCUCCUGCUUCAGGCAGGUCUCUGUAGCCAUGAGAGGGGAGGGGAUGAGGGGGAGCACGUGGCUUGCAGCGUUGCUGCUCUCACCUUAGCCAGUGGCUGCUUUAGCCUCCCCGUAGUGAUGGGAUGCAUAAGAGCCAGGCCUUGAAGAACAGGCAGGUUUGGAGCAUGUGAGCCCCUUUUGUCUGGAGUACAUUGGUCAGAGCCAAAUGUUGAUUAUCCCUGAAUGCUGGAGUUGGAGACUGUGCUGCCAGCUGUAAUGGGCACGGCUGAGUGCUUGGUGGAAAGCAGGCACUUCCUAAACUACCAUCAUUUGAUGCGUAGUGGGGUGCUGCUAGCCAAAUUUGGGGAGAGAUGAACCUGGAAGAGGCAGAGUCGGGCUGGAUGCCACAGACCAAUCCUCAGCCUGCUUGGAGGCCCCAGCCUGGAGGCGUGCAAGCUAAAUGGUGAGUCAUGGGAGCUGGGGAGGCCUGCUCAAUAGGGCCAAGUGAUGUCACCUCCAUCUGACUUCUUGUCAGGGAGAAUGAUACUUAGCAACACUGGUGACCCACUUGAGUAGCACCAGCAUCAGAAGGUAGUGACAGAGGAGGAAACUGAGGCCCAGGAAGGUUUAGUAACACAUCCAAACUCACAUGCUAGACUGUGUCUUAGCUUGGCAUGGCAAGGAGCCUCUUGGGCAUCUUCCCGCUUGAGGAAUGAGGCAUACAAUGACAGAAGGGGUGCACUCCUGCUCCUGGGUAUAUGAUGCCUAAAGGGCAGGAAGACAUUCCUGUCUUUACGUGUAUACCUCUGGCUCUUUGGUAGGCACAGACAAGUAAGUGUGACCCAGGCCCUUGCCUUCCAAGGAUGCCAGGCUAGCCCGGGGAAGCUGAGUGGGAAGCAGCCCCUCCCAGCACAGCAGGAACCACAGAGUGUUCAGUGCAUGACAGAGCAGUUAACAUUGGGGAGGUGAGGCCAGGACAUUUAGGAUGGGCUUUGAAGGAUGCAGAGGAGUUUGCUAGGCAUGGGGAAUAGGAUGAGGAGUGUAGCCAGAGCAGAAUUAAUUCACUCACCCAGCAGAUAAUUGAGUAAAUGCGAGCACUGUGCUGGGCUCCGUGUGUUAGGAACACAAGGCUUUGGGGUAAGAGUGUUACCCAAGUGCACCCUCUUAGCUGAGGGAGUGCCUGUUUGUUUUAAGUCACUGCACAUGCAGUUGGCCACAGGUGGUAGGCAGCAUACUGUCUGCAAUGACCAAGGACAGUGAUUGCCCAUAGACUAUUCCGAAUCUUUCAGGAAGUGGGUGUCUGACCCAUAGAGGCUGCAGCACAGGAUUGCAAUGACCAGAGUGUGUCUGAAAGGCUUACAUACAGAAGGACCUGCAGCGGGGAGAAACAUACAGCAGCCAGUUGGGUCAGGGUUGACAGGGAAUGGCCAUUAUGUAAACUGUUUCCCCUCUAUUAGGUCCAUUAACUGGAAAAGAAAACAGCCUUUAUCAGCAGGCAGAUAGGAUGAUAAUUGGCUUCCAUUUACCAAGAGAUUACGGGAUCUGUUCCAUGGCUGCUUAUAGGUUCCAUUUCCCAAGAAACUGCCCUCUUAGAGUUCUUUUCAUGGUGCAGCGGAAACGUAUCUGACUAGGAUCUAUGAGGAUGCAGUUUCAAUCCCUGGCCUUGCUCAGUGGGUUAAGGAUCCAGCAUUGCUGUGAGCUGUGGUGUAGGUCUCAGAUGUAGCUAGGAUCUGGCGUUUCUGUGGCUGUGGGUAGGCCCGCAGCUAUAGCUCUGAUUCAACCCCUAGCCUGGAACCUCCAUGUGCCAUGGGUGUGGCCCUAAAAAAGCAAAAAAAAAAAAAAAAAAAAAA
ensembl:lncRNA